rnacentral:sRNA from 1 species
AUUAUUAUUAAUUCAUUAUCAUCAAACUUAGGAUAUUUACGGAUUCUACAUUUUACGGGUUUACGUUUUUGGCGGCAAAAUCACGGGUUUACGUUUUCGGCGGGAAAAUUAUAGGUUUACAUUUUUGGCGGAAAAAUUACGGGUUUACGUUUUUGGCAGAAAAAUUACGGGUUUACGUUUUUGGAGGGAAAAUCUCGGGUUUACAUUUUUGGUGGAAAAAUCUCGGAUUUACGUUUUUGGCGGGAAAAUCACGGGUUUACGUUUUUGGCGGUAAAAUCACAGGUUUACGUUUUUGGAGGAAAAAUCACGGAUUUACGUUUUUGGCGGGAAAAUUACGGCUUUACGUUUUUGGCGGAAAAAUUACGAGUUUACGUUUUUGGCGGGAAAAUCACGGGUUUACGAUUUUUGGCGGGAAAAUUACGAGUUUACGUUUUUGGCGGGAAAAUCUUGGGUUUAUGUUUUUGGCGGGAAAAUUACGGGUUUGCGUUUUUGGCGAGAAAAUUACGAGUUUACUUUUUCUCAAUUUCAUCGCUUGUAUAUUUAAGAAAUUUGGAAAAAUAUUU